AAGUCGUAACAAGGUUUCCGUAGAUGAACCUGCGGAAGGAUCAUUAUUGAAACAAGGGGUCGCUCCGGUGAGCCCUGCGCUGGCGGAGACGUCGUGCCGCGGGACCCGGUCGGCUUUGUCCACCCUCACACCCCUGUGCACCUUUGGGAAGGCGGGCUUCUGCACCCGUCGGCCCGUUCAUAAACUCUUGUAAUGUAAUCGUGAAUGUCGCCGCGGACUUCGAGCCGCUAGUAACAGUAACAACUUUCAACAACGGAUCUCUUGGCUCUCGCAUCAAUGAAGAACGCAGCGAAAUGCGAUAAGUAAUGUGAAUUGCAGAAUUCAGUGAAUCAUCGAAUCUUUGAACGCACCUUGCGCUCCUUGGUAUUCCGAGGAGCAUGCCUGUUUGAGUGUCUUGAAAUUUAUCAAGCCCUUGGUUUAACGACCUUGGGCUUGCAGUUGGGGGUCUGCUGCAGCGAUGCGGCUCCUCUUAAAAGCAUCGGUCGGAACCCUUGGGCUCCUUUCCUGGGCGUUGUAGCAUCCUCGUCCGACGGGAGGGCCCUUGCCGACCUCGACCCGCCUGUGGAGUGGCGGUCAAACGAAUUGAAAUCUGACCUCAAAUCAGGUAGGACUACCCACUGAACUUAA
rnacentral:rRNA from 1 species